GUGGACUGGGGCUCUUCCUCCUGUUCCUUCCCUCCAUAGGAAUUCGUCCUUACAACCACCUUACAAAAGGAGAAAGGUCAGGAAGCAUCAAGUGGAGCCGAGAGGGAGGAGCAGCAGGAACAGGAAGAAAAGGGAAGCUUUGAAAGCUCACAGAGCUGGCCGGAAGGACCUGGCAGAAGUGGGGGGCCUGAUGUCCUUUUCGUAAAGGAACAGGGGUUAAGUUCUUCAAGGGAAUGCUCAAAGAAUCCUGUACACUGAGAGUCAGGAGCUGAAUGUGGAAUUGGCAUCAUCUCCCAUAUCUCACACGGGGGAGGUGCUCUGAAGAGCGACGGCAGAAGGCUGAGAAUUACAG
rnacentral:lncRNA from 1 species